GCUGUUGGAAAGCAAAAAUCCAUCCGCACUAUUUGUGGUUUCAAAAUAGGGGGGAUCCAUCCCUGUUUCACUAUAUUUUCUCAAAUAUAAUUCAUAUUAAAGCCAGCAAUGGGUUUGUCAGCUUUAUUGUGAAUCAGAUUUAAAAAAAAAAUGAGGAAACAAGAGUGACCCAUCUCUGUUUCAAAACUACGGAUGUUGCGGAUGGAUUUGCGCCAUC
rnacentral:lncRNA from 1 species